rnacentral:rRNA from 1 species
GAUGAACGCUAGCUACAGGCUUAACACAUGCAAGUCGAGGGGAAACGGCAUUGAGUGCUUGCACUCUUUGGACGUCGACCGGCGCACGGGUGAGUAACGCGUAUCCAACCUUCCCAUUACUGUGGGAUAACCUGCCGAAAGGCAGACUAAUACCGCAUGGUCUUCGAUGACGGCAUCAGAUUUGAAGUAAAGAUUUAUCGGUAAUGGAUGGGGAUGCGUCUGAUUAGCUUGUUGGCGGGGUAACGGCCCACCAAGGCAACGAUCAGUAGGGGUUCUGAGAGGAAGGUCCCCCACAUUGGAACUGAGACACGGUCCAAACUCCUACGGGAGGCAGCAGUGAGGAAUAUUGGUCAAUGGACGGAAGUCUGAACCAGCCAAGUAGCGUGCAGGAUGACGGCCCUAUGGGUUGUAAACUGCUUUUGUAUGGGGAUAAAGUUAGGGACGUGUCCCUAUUUGCAGGUACCAUACGAAUAAGGACCGGCUAAUUCCGUGCCAGCAGCCGCGGUAAUACGGAAGGUCCAGGCGUUAUCCGGAUUUAUUGGGUUUAAAGGGAGCGUAGGCUGGAGAUUAAGUGUGUUGUGAAAUGUAGACGCUCAACGUCUGAAUUGCAGCGCAUACUGGUUUCCUUGAGUACGCACAACGUUGGCGGAAUUCGUCGUGUAGCGGUGAAAUGCUUAGAUAUGACGAAGAACUCCGAUUGCGAAGGCAGCUGACGGGAGCGCAACUGACGCUUAAGCUCGAAGGUGCGGGUAUCAAACAGG